AAGGGAAGCCAUGUCAUCUUGUGCUGGAGGAAAAGGGCGUUCAAAAUCCUAAAAAGAAGCUGAAACGUGAUGAAACGUUACACAGAAGUCUCAAGAGGUCAGCGUGAAGUGAAGCCAUUUUAUCUUGUGCUGGAGGAAAAGGGCGUUUAAAAUGCAGAACAGAAGCUGAAACUUGAUUAAACGUUACACAGAAGUCUCAAGGGUUGCUGGUGUAUAAACCCUGUCUCCUGCUCUCAGCACAGGAUGGCCCCAUUACUGAUUUGCUUUUCUGCAUCGCCACAAAAAACCCCUGACACAUUAUAGCACAGAUCACUGAGCCACUUAAAGAUGCAGACAACCAUUUGGAUUAAAAUGCAAGAGUUGGUGUGGUCUAAAAAUAAAUAGCAUGAGAA
rnacentral:lncRNA from 1 species